rnacentral:miRNA from 1 species
AUCGGUGAGCUAAAAAUAGAAU